rnacentral:rRNA from 1 species
GACGAACGCUGGCGGCGUGCUUAACACAUGCAAGUCGAACGGAAAGGCCAGUGCUUGCACUGGUACUCGAGUGGCGAACGGGUGAGUAACACGUGGGUGAUCUGCCUUGCACUCUGGGAUAAGCUUGGGAAACUGGGUCUAAUACCGGAUAGGAACUGCCUUUAGUGUGGUGGUUGGAAAGUUUUUUCGGUGCAAGAUGAGCUCGCGGCCUAUCAGCUUGUUGGUGGGGUAAUGGCCUACCAAGGCGUCGACGGGUAGCCGGCCUGAGAGGGUGUACGGCCACAUUGGGACUGAGAUACGGCCCAGACUCCUACGGGAGGAAGCAGUGGGGAAUAUUGCACAAUGGGCGGAAGCCUGAUGCAGCGACGCCGCGUGGGGGAUGACGGCCUUCGGGUUGUAAACUCCUUUCGACAGGGACGAAGCGUAAGUGACGGUACCUGUAUAAGAAGCACCGGCUAACUACGUG